rnacentral:rRNA from 1 species
CCUACGGGUGGCAGCAGUGAGGAAUAUUGGUCAAUGGGCGCGAGCCUGAACCAGCCAAGUCGCGUGAAGGAUGACUGUCCUACGGGUUGUAAACUUCUUUUAUAAAGGAAUAAAGUGAGGCACGUGAGCCUUUUUGUAUGUACUUUAUGAAUAAGGAUCGGCUAACUCCGUGCCAGCAGCCGCGGUAAUACGGAGGAUCCGAGCGUUAUCCGGAUUUAUUGGGUUUAAAGGGAGCGUAGAUGGGUUGUUAAGUCAGUUGUGAAAGUUUGCGGCUCAACCGUAGAAUUGCAUUUGAUACUGGCAGACUUGAGUACAGUUGAGGUAGGCGGAACUCGUGGUGUAGCGGUGAAAUGCUUAGAUAUCACGAAGAACUCCGAUUGCGAAGGCAGCUUACUAAACUGCAACUGACGUUGAGGCUCGAAAGUGUGGGUAUCAAACAGGAUUAGAUACCCUAGUAGUC